rnacentral:rRNA from 1 species
GAUGAACGCUGGCGGCGUGCCUAACACAUGCAAGUCGAACGAAAGGACGAGAAGCUUGCUGUGCUGUUGUUAGCGGCGGACGGGAGUGUAACACGUGUAUAAUCUACCUAUAAGACGGGGAUCAUUUCGGAAAAGCGGAUCUUAUAGCGGAUAAUAUCUUGAUCCGCGUUGGUCGAAAGUGAAAUACGGUGUUGCGGUAACUAAUAGCUGCAUCUACGCUGCAUUAGCUGGUUGGGAAGGUAACGGCUUAUCAAGGCGACGAUGCAUAGCCGACGGGAGAGGGUGAUCGCCCACACUGGAGGUGAGCCACGGACCAGACUACUACGGGAGGCAGCAGUAGGGAAUCUUCCGCAAUGGGGGAAAGCCUGACGGAGCAACGCCGCGUGAGUGAUGAAGGUCUUCGGAUCGUAAAACUCUGUUAUUAGGGAAGAACAUAUGUGUAAGUAACUGUGCCCAUCUUGACGGUACCGGGUCAAGAAGCCACGGCUAACUACGUG